rnacentral:rRNA from 1 species
GAUGAACGCUGGCGGCGUGCCUAACACAUGCAAGUCGAGCGAUUCUCUUAGGAGAAGAGCGGCGGACGGGUGAGUAACGCGUGGGUAACCUGCCCUGUACACACGGAUAACAUACCGAAAGGUAUGCUAAUACGAGAUAAUAUGCUUUUAUCGCAUGGUAGAAGUAUCAAAGCUCCGGCGGUACAGGAUGGACCCGCGUCUGAUUAGCUAGUUGGUAAGGUAACGGCUUACCAAGGCGACGAUCAGUAGCCGACCUGAGAGGGUGAUCGGCCACAUUGGAAGUGAGACACGGUCAAACCCCCUACGGGGGGCAGCAGUGGGGAGUUUUGCACAAGGGGGAAAGCCCUGAUGCGGCACCGCGGGGUGGGCGAUGAGGGCCUUCGGGUCGAAAAGCUCUGUCCUCAAGGAAGAUAAUGAGGUUACUUGAGGAGGAAGCCCCGGCUAAUUACGUGCCAGCCGCCGCGGUAA